AGCGAACGCUGGCGGCAGGCUUAACACAUGCAAGUCGAGCGGGCACUUUCGGGUGUCAGCGGCGGACGGGUGAGUAACGCGUGGGAACGUGCCCUCUGGUUCGGAAUAACUCAGGGAAACUUGAUCUAAUACCGGAUACGCCCUUUUGGUGAAAGGCUUGCUGCCGGGGGAUCGGCCCGCGUCUGAUUGGCUAGUUGGUGAGGUAACGGCUCACCAAGGCGACGAUCAGUAGCUGGUCUGAGAGGAUGAUCGGCCACACUGGGACUGCGACACGGCCCCGAAUCCUACGGGAGGGAGCAGUGGGGAAUAUUGGACGCUGGGCGCAAGCCUGAUACAGCCAUGCCGCGUGAGUGAUGAAGGCCUUAGGGUUGUAAAGCUCUUUUAUCCGGGACGAUAAUGACGGUACCGGAGGAAUAAGCCCCGGCUAACUUCGUG
rnacentral:rRNA from 1 species